rnacentral:rRNA from 1 species
UACAGAGGUCUCAAGCGUUGUUCGGAUUUACUGGGCGUAAAGCGCACGUAGGCGGAUCGAUCAGUCAGGGGUGAAAUCCCAGAGCUCAACUCUGGAACUGCCUUUGAUACUGUCGAUCUGGAGUAUGGAAGGGGUGAGUGGAAUUCCGAGUGUAGAGGUGAAAUUCGUAGAUAUUCGGAGGAACACCAGUGGCGAAGGCGGCUCACUGGUCCAUUACUGACGCUGAGGUGCGAAAGCGUGGGGAGCAAACAGG